CCCUUAGAUGUCCUGGGCCGCACGCGCGCUACACUGAUGCAUUCAACGAGUAUUUCCUUGGCCGAGAGGCCUGGGCAAUCUUUUAAACCUGCAUCGUGAUAGGGAUAGAUUAUUGCAAUUAUUAAUCUUGAACGAGGAAUUCCUAGUAAACGCAAAUCAUCAAUUUGCAUUGAUUACGUCCCUGCCCUUUGUACACACCGCCCGUCGCACCUACCGAUUGAGUGGUCCGGUGAAAUCUCGGGAUUGUGGCCAGUUCACUUUAUUGGGAGUUGGCUGCGAGAACUUGCUUAAACCUUAUCAUUUAGAGGAAGGUGAAGUCGUAACA
rnacentral:rRNA from 1 species